CCACCCUGGGUCAGGACACCUUAUCCAGCAGGUGGUGGAUGGAAUGUCUACAACAGCUUCUUGGUUUCUGGUUUGUGCCAUAGAGGGAGGUGGGGCCCCCAGAGAGAGGGGACACUAGAGAAUCAUUAGGUUUGGGGGACGAUCUGGACAUCUCCGGGUUUUGCUGUUUUCCUAGGUUGGAAGGAAGGGAAGGGCAGCUUUUGGCCUGAGAUCAUGGGACCUUGGGCAAUGAUGUCACCUCCUGGGUUUCAGUCUUUCGUCUGAAGAAGAGUCUGGUGAGCUGAUCUCUAGCCCCCAAGCAUGCUCCACAUUCUCUGACAACGACCCUGCCCUGCCGCUGGCUGCUGCAUCCUGAACGCUUGACCCAUCUCUCAGAGCAAGAACGAGACUGUUGCUCCAUCAGUGGCUCCUCAGUAUCCAGCAAAGCACAAGCGUGUGGUUCCAGCUGCUUUCUGGGCCCAUCAGGGAGUCUGAGCUCUUUUCCUUCCUGGGCACUGCCUGGCCAGGUGCCGACUGCUCACGCCCCUGCAGAACUCAUCGCCUGGGCCUGGCCGGUUGCAGAGGCUUCUCACACCCCAGAAGCCUCUCCUUUCGAGGAGUCCCUUCCUGCUGUGACGGCUUCACCGGGAGAGGGCUCCAUGCUGUGCUGGGCUCCAGCCGUGGGAGCCCGAGCAAAGGAAAGACCAGCGCUGCGGGUCCUGUCUUUAUUCCACAAUUUGAUAUCGAAGUCCUCCAUCCCGGAUAUUUUGCAUUAGUUUUGAUUUUUAAAAACAUUGCAUUAAAAUACAAUUUGCCUGGGCUACUGAGGGCCUUUUGAAGGCAGAUGUUUUACACUUUACACCCCAGGCAGACGCAGAGAGAAAGGGGCCCCGGGAUCGGGAUCGCCCUGGGGUGGGGAAUGAAUGUGAAUUCUCCCCUGCAGGGGUGGCUUUGGAGUCUGCUGGGUGCGGCU